rnacentral:lncRNA from 1 species
AGUGCCUUUUGGGUUCACAAACAGGCAUGUUUCACCAGCUGCUCAAGCUAGUUCAGAAGGAGAGGGGAGACCAAGGAGAGACCAGACUGAGGCAGAAGAAAACUGGCCUUCUGUCUUGGUUUAUUCGGAAGGCAUCAUCAGAAAAUUUCAUCAGUAACCAUGAAAAGCGUAUAAAGAAAUUGGAGGAACUAAAACUUGAAAUCCAGAAGUGUAAAAUUGAGCGGGAUGAACUUUCUCGAAUCCUGGACCUUUAUGUCAAUGAUGGUUUGAACUACAGGCUGAGUGUUGAAUUGCCAAUGCUUAAAUCCCAACAUGAGAUGAGAACGAUGGAUAUGCAUAAGAUGACCAACUGGAUAAGUGAUGCCAUGGAGAAGU